AUAAGUAACGAUAAAUGGCGUGGAAAACGUCAUCGCCGUAAGACUAAGGGUUCCUUGAUCUACGUUCAUCGGAUCAGGGUGAGCCGGGGCCUAAGGAUAAGCCGAUAGGCGAAGCCGAUGGAAAGUGGGUCAAUAUUCCCACGCCGGUGUGUGCUGUGACGCGGGGACGGAGUUUUGGAGGUGUCGCGUCGAGACGGAAUUCGACGUUAAAGCGCAAGCGAUAGUACGCCAAUCCCUCCGGGGAGCGAUGAUAGCGCACCAAAGAGACUUCCAGGAAAAGCCGCUAAACUUCAGGUGCGCGCCGCCCGUACCGCAAACCGACACAGGUAGUCGAGGAGAGCAUCCUAAGGCGCUCGAGUGAUUCGUGGCUAAGGAACUAGGCAAAAUGGUCUCGUAACUUCGGGAGAAGAGACGCCCCUUGCAAGAGGGGCCGCAGUGAAGAGGCCCAGGCGACUGUUUAGCAAAAACACAGGGCUCUGCAAAAUCGCAAGAUGAGGUAUAGGGCCCGACACCUGCCCGGUGCCGGAAGGUUAAGGAAGGGGCUUAGGGGCAACUCGAAGGUCUUGACUGAAGCCCCGGUAAACGGCGGCCGUAACGAUAACGGUCCUAAGGUAGCGAAAUUCCUUGUCGGGUAAGUUCCGACCUGCACGAAUGGUGUAACGAUCUGGGCGCUGUCUCAGCCACGAGCUCGGUGAAAUUGAAGUAUCGGUGAAGAUGCCGAUUACCCGCAACGGGACGGAAAGACCCCGUGAACCUUUACUACAGCUUUGCAUUGGGCUUGACUAUUCGAUGCGUAGGAUAGGUGGGAGGCUAUGAUCCUGUGGUUCCGGCCAUGGGGGAGCCGACGUUGAAAUACCACCCUCUGACUAGUUGAGUCCUAACGGAGCAAUCCAGACAGUGCAUGGCGGGUAGUUUGACUGGGGUGGUCACCUCCUAAAGAGUAACGGAGGUUUGCAAAGGUGCCCUCAGCACGGACGGUAAUCGUGCGCAGAGCGUAUUAGCACAAGGGCGCUUGACUGAGAGGCCGACGGGCCGAUCAGGGUCGAAAGACGGCUAAAGUGAUCCGGUGGUUCCGCAUGGAAGGGCCAUCGCUCAAAGGAUAAAAGGUACUCCGGGGAUAACAGGCUGAUCUCCCCCAAGGGCUCAUAUCGACGGGGAGGUUUGGCACCUCGAUGUCGGCUCGUCGCAUCCUGGGGCUGGAGAAGGUCCCAAGGGUUGGGCUGUUCGCCCAUUAAAGCGGCACGUGAGCUGGGUUCAGAACGUCGCAAGACAGUUCGGUCCCUAUCUGUUGUGGGCGCCAGAAGAUUGAAGAGACCUGACACCAGUACGAGGGGACCGUGUUGGACGCACCGCUUGUGCAUCGGUUGUGCCGCCAGGUGCAGCGCCGAGUAGCAAUGUGCGGCCGGGAUAAGCGCUGAAAGCAUCUAAGCGCGAAGCCUACUCUGAGAUGAAUCUUCUUUUAAGGGCCGCAGGAGACCACUGCGUCGAUAGGCGGCAGGUGUACGCGCAGCAAUGCGCUCAGCCGA
rnacentral:rRNA from 1 species